UACGUAGGGUGCAAGCGUUGUCCGGAAUUAUUGGGCGUAAAGAGCUCGUAGGCGGUCUGUCGCGUCGGCUGUGAAAACCUGGGGCUCAACCCCGGGCCUGCAGCCGAUACGGGCAGACUAGAAUUCGGCAGGGGAGACUGGAAUUCCUGGUGUAGCGGUGAAAUGCGCAGAUAUCAGGAGGAACACCGGUGGCGAAGGCGGGUCUCUGGGCCGAUAUUGACGCUGAGGAGCGAAAGCCAGGGGAGGCUA
rnacentral:rRNA from 1 species